rnacentral:rRNA from 1 species
CCGAACGGGAAUUACUUUAUUGAAACUUCGGUCGAUUUAAUUUAAUUCUACCGUCGGACGGGUGAGUAACGCGUGGGUAACCUGCCUUAUACAGGGGGAUAACAGUCAGAAAUGGCUGCUAAUACCGCAUAAGCGCACAGAGCUGCAUGGCUCGGUGUGAAAAACUCCGGUGGUAUAAGAUGGACCCGCGUUGGAUUAGCUUGUUGGUGGGGUAACGGCCCACCAAGGCGACGAUCCAUAGCCGGCCUGAGAGGGUGAACGGCCACAUUGGGACUGAGACACGGCCCAGACUCCUACGGGAGGCAGCAGUGGGGAAUAUUGCACAAUGGGGGAAACCCUGAUGCAGCGACGCCGCGUGAAGGAAGAAGUAUCUCGGUAUGUAAACUUCUAUCAGCAGGGAAGAUAGUGACGGUACCUGACUAAGAAGCCCCGGCUAACUACGUGCCAGCAGCCGCGGUAAUACGUAGGGGGCAAGCGUUAUCCGGAUUUACUGGGUGUAAAGGGAGCGUAGACGGUGUGGCAAGUCUGAUGUGAAAGGCAUGGGCUCAACCUGUGGACUGCAUUGGAAACUGUCAUACUUGAGUGCCGGAGGGGUAAGCGGAAUUCCUAGUGUAGCGGUGAAAUGCGUAGAUAUUAGGAGGAACACCAGUGGCGAAGGCGGCUUACUGGACGGUAACUGACGUUGAGGCUCGAAAGCGUGGGGAGCAAACAGGAUUAGAUACCCCGGUAGUCCACGCCGUAAACGAUGAAUACUAGGUGUCGGGUGGCAGAGCCAUUCGGUGCCGUCGCAAACGCAGUAAGUAU